GUGCCAGCAGCCGCGGUAAUACGUAGGGUGCGAGCGUUAAUCGGAAUUACCGGGCGUAAAGCGUGCGCAGGCGGUUUUGUAAGACAGGCGUGAAAUCCCCGGGCUCAACCUGGGAAUGGCGCUUGUGACUGCAAAGCUGGAGUGCGGCAGAGGGGGAUGGAAUUCCGCGUGUAGCAGUGAAAUGCGUAGAUAUGCGGAGGAACACCGAUGGCGAAGGCAAUCCCCUGGGCCUGCACUGACGCUCAUGCACGAAAGCGUGGGGAGCAAACAGGAUUAGAUACCCUGGUAGUCCACGCCCUAAACGAUGUCAACUGGUUGUUGGGUCUUCACUGACUCAGUAACGAAGCUAACGCGUGAAGUUGACCGCCUGGGGAGUACGGCCGCAAGGUUGAAACUUAAAUGAAUUGACGG
rnacentral:rRNA from 1 species